AUUGAACGCUGGCGGCAGGCCUAACACAUGCAAGUCGAACGGUAGCACAGAGAGCUUGCUCUCGGGUGACGAGGGGCGGACGGGUGAGUAACGUCUGGGAAACUGCCCGAUGGAGGGGGCUAACUACUGGAAACGGUAGCUAAUACCGCAUCACGUCGCAAGACCAAAGUGGGGGACCUUCGGGCCUCACACCAUCGGAUGUGCCCGGAUGGGAUUAGCUAGUAGGUGGGGUAAUGGCUCACCUAGGCGACGAUCCCUAGCUGGUCUGAGAGGAUGACCAGCCACACUGGAACUGAGACACGGUCCAGACUCCUACGGGAGGCAGCAGUGGGGAAUAUUGCACAAUGGGCGCAAGCCCGAUGCAGCCAUGCCGCGUGUAUGAAGAAGGCCUUCGGAUUGUAAAGUACUUUCAGCGGGGAGGAAGGCGGUGAAGUUAAUAACUUCACCGAUUGACGUUACCCGCAGAAGAAGCACCGGCUAACUCCGUGCCAGCAGCCGCCGUAA
rnacentral:rRNA from 1 species